AAUGAACGCUGGCGGCGUGCCUAACACAUGCAAGUCGGAUGUGCCCGCAAGGGUGCAUGGCAGACGGGUGAGUAACGCGUGGGGAAUCUACCUUUUAGUGGGGAAUAACGCUCCGAAAGGAGUGGUAAUACCGCAUGUGACCAUUGGCUGGGAUGUUGAUGGUGAAACCCUGGGACCUUCGGGCCAGGGGCUAAAAGAGGAUCCUGCGUCUGAUUAGCUAGUUGGCGGGGUAACGGCCCACCAAGGCGACGAUCAGUAGCCGGCCUGAGAGGGUGAUCGGCCACACUGGAACUGAGACACGGUCCAGACUCCUACGGGAGGCAGCAGUGGGGAAUUUUGCGCAAUGGACGAAAGUCUGACGCAGCAACGCCGCGUGGGUGAUGAAGGUCUUCGGAUUGUAAAACCCUGUCGCCAGGGACGAAGGGUGAGGUGUGAAUAGCGCCUUACUUUGACGGUACCUGGAAAGGAAGCCCCGGCUAACUCUGUGCCAGCAGCCGCGGUAAAG
rnacentral:rRNA from 1 species